UACGAAGGGGGCUAGCGUUGUUCGGAUUUACUGGGCGUAAAGCGCACGUAGGCGGAUCGUUAAGUCGGGGGUGAAAUCCUGGAGCUCAACUCCAGAACUGCCUUCGAUACUGGCGAUCUUGAGUCCGGAAGAGGUGAGUGGAACUCCUAGUGUAGAGGUGGAAUUCGUAGAUAUUAGGAAGAACACCAGUGGCGAAGGCGGCUCACUGGUCCGGUACUGACGCUGAGGGGCGAAAGCGUGGGGAGCGAACGGG
rnacentral:rRNA from 1 species